rnacentral:rRNA from 1 species
UACGGGGGGGGCAAGCGUUGUUCGGAAUUACUGGGCGUAAAGGGCGCGUAGGCGGCCAGACAAAGUCGAGCGUUAAAUUCCAGGGCUUAACCCUGGGCUGUUGCUCGAUACUAGUCGGCUAGAGUGUGGAAGAGGGUGCUGGAAUUCCCGGUGUAGCGGUGAAAUGCGCAGAUAUCAGGAGGAACACCGGUGGCGAAGGCGGGUCUCUGGGCCGAUACUGACGCUGAGGAGCGAAAGCGUGGGGAGCGAACAGG